UUAGGAGAGGGACGUGGUGGAAGCACGGCUGGUGUAGCAGUUGUUAUGCCAAGGGCAUCGCUGGGUAGCUAUGUGCGGACGGGAUAAGUGCUGAAAGCAUCUAAGCAUGAAGCCCCCCUCAAGAUGAGAUUUCCCAUUCCGCAAGGAAGUAAGAUCCCUGAAAGAUGAUCAGGUUGAUAGGUCUGAGGUGGAAGUGUGGCGACACAUGGAGCUGACAGAUACUAAUCGAUCGAGGACUUAACCAU
rnacentral:rRNA from 1 species